GAUGAACGCUGGCGGCGUGCUUAACACAUGCAAGUCGAACGAUGAAGCCCAGCUUGCUGGGUGGAUUAGUGGCGAACGGGUGAGUAACACGUGAGUAACCUGCCCUUAACUCUGGGAUAAGCCUGGGCAACUGGGUCUAAUACCGGAUAGGAGCGUCCACCGCAUGGUGGGUGUUGGAAAGAUUUAUCGGUUUUGGAUGGACUCGCGGCCUAUCAGCUUGUUGGUGAGGUAAUGGCUCACCAAGGCGCCGACGGGUAGCCGGCCUGAGAGGGUGACCGGCCACACUGGGACUGAGACACGGCGCAGACUCCGACGGGAGGCAGCAGUGGGGAAUAGUGCACAAUGGGCGCAAGCCUGAUGCAGCGACGCCGCGUGAGGGAUGACGGCCUUCGGGUUGUAAACCUCUUUCAGUAGGGAAGAAGCGAAAGUGACGGUACCUGCAGAAGAAGCACCGGCUAACUACGUG
rnacentral:rRNA from 1 species